UACGAAGGUGGCAAGCGUUACUCGGAAUUACUAGGCGUAAAGGGCAGGUAGGCGGUUUGAUAAGUCCGUUGUGUCAGCUCCCGGCUUAACUGGGAGAGGUCAACGGAAACUAUCAGGCUUGAGUGUGGGAGAGGGUACUGGAAUUCCUGGUGUAGCGGUGAAAUGCGCAGAUAUCAGGAGGAACACCAAUGGCGAAAGCAAGUACCUGGACCACUACUGACGCUCAGCUGCGAAAGCUAGGGGAGCAAACAGG
rnacentral:rRNA from 1 species